CACAAACACACAAUAAUGAAUAUUAUUACAGACAAAAGUCAUGAGAAAAAUGUUAAUACAAGUAUCGAAGAAGAUAACAUGAUUGAUACAUGUUCAUGUAGUGGAACUCAAAUGAUACAUCGUUCCACCAGCAUAUCUCCUGACAGAAUAAUAAAUUCACCAAUUAAAACUCAAAUUCGUCGAGUGUACACACGUGAAAUUGCAGGUGUGAAAUAAAAACUAGCUGUAAGUCGUCACAAGCAUAAAAAAGCACAAAAGAAAAUAUUAACACUGAAGACUGUGCUAAAAGAUCUACAGAAACGGAAUCUACUCAGACCAGAGGAAAGCGACAUAUUGCAACAUUUAGAUACAGAAUCUGGGUUACAAAUUUGAUGUACAAUCAAAUAAUCUUCAAACGUGGUUUAAACAUCCAUCUACCGACACCAAAUUACACGUAUUUCUUGAUGCGUGCCACAUGAUAAAGUUGGUACGUAAUGUUCUUGGUUCUAAAAAAGAACUUUUAGAUAAUGAUGGAAAUAAAAUCAAAUGGAAACACUUUGAAGAUUUGCAUCAAUUGCAACAAACAGAGGGCUUACAUCUCGGUAACAAACUUAGAAUUAAGCACAUUGAUUUUUAUAAAAACAAAAUGAAAGUGAAAUUAGCGACACAAUUAUUGAGUACGUCAGUUGCAAACGCAUUCGAGUUAUGCAAAGAUUCGUUACAAUUACCACAAUUUGAAGAUUGUACAGCAACUAUUAAAUUUACCUCUACUUUUAAUGACUUAUUUGACAUUUUUAAUUCAAAAAAUAUAAGACAACGUGGUUUUAAAAAACCCAUAAAUAGUAACAAUUAUUUAGAAAUUACAAAAAAACUCGAAGAAUGCGCAAAGUAUAUUAAAACAUUGGUACUUGUUAAAGAACACAAAGAAGUGCUUAAUUCAAAAGUCAAAACAGGUUUUCUAGGUUUUUUAAUAGAUAUUGAAAGUUUGAUACAUAUGUAUAACUUUAUUUGCGUUGAAAAUGACUUAUUGACAUAUAUUCCAACAUAUAAAAUUAGUCAGGAUUAUUUAGAACUGUUAUUUAGUAGUAUACGCUCACAUGGUAGAUAUAACAACAAUCCUACGGUUAAACAAUUUAAGUCUAUUUUUAAAAAAUUAAUAGUACAUACAGAAAUAAGGGAAACAAAAAGUGGUAACUGUAUACCUUUAGAAGAUAUUUCAAUAUUACAUAUGCCAUCAACACAUAAUCCAGUUGACAUUAUAAAUGCUACAGCAAAUCAAAAUUCAUAUGAAAACUGGCUUAAUGUUUUUGAAAUCACAGAAACUGAUCAUGAUUAUUGUUCAGAAGUACAAUGUUCAUUUACUACAGAAUAUAAGAAUGAAGUUAUUACUUACAUGGCUGGGUACAUAUUACGAAGACUUAUAAAAACUUUACGUUGUCCUGAAUGCCUCGAAACAUUAAUGGAACAACGUACAAACAUUAACUGUAAUUUAAUAAAUAUUAAAAACAGAGGAGGAUUGUUAUAUCCAUCAAAAAAUUUAGUAUGUUUGUAAAAAUAUAGAAAACACAUUAAGAAAUUAUACCAACAUACAUAAAACACUUGAUCUAUUCAAUAUAAAUAAAUUUACAAAUGAUAUUAUGUUACGAUUUAUUGAUAAAAACAUAUUUGCGGAAUUAAAAGACCAUAUAAACGAUC